rnacentral:tRNA from 1 species
GGGGUUGUGGCUCAGCGGUAGAGCUCUCACCUAGAAUGUGAGAGGUCCUGGGUUUGAUACUCGGCACCA